rnacentral:ncRNA from 1 species
AAAUAGCCUAUGAAAAAGAGAGUAAUCGUGUGGAUGCUAAAGCGAGCCAGGGUUGGUGCGAGCCUGGUAGCAGAAGGAUGAUGAACCGGACUUUUGAGGCAUGACCCUGAAUGCGUAGUAGGGGCAUCGGCAACUUGCCGUUAUCAAGUACAAGAGCUGACCUUUCGUAUGUUUAUUUGCGAAGGGUAAUGAGAGUGGUACCGCGGAUAACAACCCGUCUCUUUU